AGUGAACGCUGGCGGUAUGCCUAACACAUGCAAGUCGAACGGCAGCACAUUAAUAGCUUGCUCUUACGGGUGGCGAGUGGCGGACGGGUGAGGAAUACAGCGGAAUCUACUUUUUCGUGGGGGAUAACGUAGGGAAACUUACGCUAAUACCGCAUACGACCUACGGGUGAAAGCAGGGGAUCUUCGGACCUUGCGCGAUUGAAUGAUCCGAUGUCGGAUUAGCGAGUUGGCGGGGUAAAGACCAACCAAGGCGACGCUCCGUAGCUGAUCUGAGAGGAUGAUCAGCCACACUGGAACUGAGACACGGUCCAGACUCCUACGGGAGGACGCAGUGGGGAAUAUUGGAAAAUGGGCGCAAGCCAGAUCCAGCCAUACCGCGUGGGUGAAGAAGGCCUUCGGGUUGUAAAGCCCUUUUGUUGGGAAAGAAAAGCAGCAGGUUACUACCAAGCUGUUAUGACGGUACCCAAAGAAUAAGCACCGGCUAACUUCGUG
rnacentral:rRNA from 1 species